rnacentral:rRNA from 1 species
AUUGAACGCUGGCGGCAGGCCUAACACAUGCAAGUCGAGCGAGCGGCGGACGGGUGAGUAAUGUCUGGGAAACUGCCUGAUGGAGGGGGAUAACUACUGGAAACGGUAGCUAAUACCGCAUACCAUCAGAUGUGCCCAGGUGGGAUUAGCUAGUAGGUGGGGUAACGGCUCACCUAGGCGACGAUCCCUAGCUGGUCUGAGAGGAAGACCAGCCACGCUGGAACUGAGAAGGGGUCCAGACCCCUACGGGGAGGAGCAGGGGGGAAUAGUGAACAAUGGGCGAAAGCCUAAGGCAGCCAUGCCGGGUGUAUGAAGAGGGCGUUGGGUUUGUAAAGUACUUUCAGCGGGGAGACGUAACCCGCAGAAGAAGCACCGGCUAACUCCGGGCCAGCGGCGGCGUAAUUC